CUGAGGGGCCCAGCUGGGACGGGUGGGGGCCACUGACUAUAGGGUUGCCAGGCAUCCAGUUUUCGACUGAAAUGCCCGGUCUAAGAGGGACCCUGGCAGCUCUGGUCAGCACAGCUGACCGUGCAGUUAAAAGUCCAGUUGGCCCCAGCAGUGUCUGUCUUGCCCCUAGGCAGAGGGGCAGCCGGGGAGCUCCACAUGCUGCACCACCCUGAGCGCCAUCUCUGCAGCUCCCAUUGGCCGGAGAAGACAGAAGAUUUGGCCACUGGAAGCCUGCCGCUGUGUCACUCGAGAGCCACACUCAGCUUUGGUGUAAGUGACUGCACAAGACAGCAGAGAACCAGGCCUAGCUUCCCUGGGACAAUGAUGGCUGUUACUAUGGUAAUCCGCGCAUGAUCUUCUACCAGCAAAACAUGUAAGGACUGUUACAAACCCCUUCUGCCCCAACUAUCCCCUGGGAGGCAACCAGAAUCACUCGGCUUGGGGGCAGUAUGACUGGGACAUGGCUGCUCUUGAACUCCUUGGGCCUAAUUCUGCCCUGAUUUACACCCUGUGUGGGGUGCAGGGAUGUAAGUCAGGGCCCCCUGCUAUGACAGAAAUGGUUUGAGAU